AAAUAUGGCAAAUAACUUAAACAAGGAAUGGAAAGAAAUGGUCACCAUUUAUAAAACCAUGACUGAAGCAUUUUAGUAAAGUAACUUUCAUUUCCUACUUAGAAGUGCCUGACAUUUAACCCAAUGAGCAUUAACUAAAAGACUUUCGCUUCGGCAGUUUCAACUAGUACUCUGCAUGAGAUGGAACGAGAUAAACAGAGUUUCUACGCUGAAGAACAACUGUGUAGGAGAAAGCAAAGAUCUUUACAUGGAGAUCCAACAGAUCAUGAAUUCUCUGUUCAACUUUCUGAUUGCUGUGCUUCUCCCAAUUUCUUCUGUGUGUAGGAUUUUGCAAGUCCAUUCAGAGACACAGAGCAAAAGUGAAAGGCUGUCUGUCAUUCCUAAGGCCCGGGCAUGGGGAGAGAUAUCCAGUUAUCUUCUGCAUGUAGAAGACAAGCUUUCUCUCCAACAGACCUCAUGGCUAGGAGCUACAGAGCUGCCUGCUCCCGUGGAGGUAAGUGUGCAGAGCAAAGUAAAGGUUGGUGAGCCCUUGAGCCAUUAAAAUCGCAACCAGAACACUUGGUGGUGCAUUUCAUUUCUUUCCUGUUCCUUUCCUCUCUCCAUAGUUUUCCGUUUAGUCCUUCCCCUCUUCUCCUCCUCCCCUCUUUCCUUCUUUUAUCUGCUCCGGUGAACACCAAUAGCUGUUUCUGGAAAAUGUGUUUUCAGUACCUAGAGGGAGAGAUUUCUAGACUCCCAGAGGGAAUCUCCAUUACACUGCACAAUCUCCUGUAAGAAUUUUCCUCUACAUUUUUCAAUACCUAAUUCUUCUUUCUGUGCUUCCUUUGCUUCUUUUUGAUUAGAUUUCCUAAUAUUCCUAAGUAAUUCCUGCCAACCACAUGGUCAUAUUACCCAGUAUGCUAUAUUUCCUGCAGCAUUUCCAGUUCCAGGUUUAAGCGGUAAUGGACAAGCAAGAAGAGGUUUAAAAGCCACAAUGUUGAUGAAAAACACAGGAGAAUACAAGAUGAAUGAGCCCUAAGUGARGCACUUUAUUUCUUAAAAAGAGACAAGAAAGUCUGAAUGUAACUUUCAUCUAAAGGCUGCCAACAUAAGGAUGAUGUCACUUACUAAUUAUAAAACUUCUCCAAAUUAUUCCACUGAUCUGCAGACAUUGCAGAUGCCAGCUAUGCGCCUCCAAGCUUGUUGGUCCUGACUCCCUCUGCUAAUGUUGAUUACAACUGAACAGUCUUCCUGACCAUUUGCUUACAAAAAUGUGGGCUGGUCCCACAUAGUUGAUUCAUGCAGAUCUACUGAGUGACCAGUUCCUGUACUUGGAUCAUCUAAAGGCRAAAACUAUUUUAAUGUAUUACCCUCUAUUCUUCAGAAAUUUGGUCCCCAGGCUAGAAGCAUGACAAAAGGAUUAUCAUUCAGUCACAUGAAAUUUUCUCUUUGGAAGUAGAAUAUCCUACUAGAAGCCUAUAAUUGAAGAUGACCUAUAUGGUCAGGAGUGUAUGUAUAACACCUUAGGAGUGUGAAGACAGUAUGCAGUUUGUAAUUAAGACUUUCCAUUGUACUCAGAGAGCUAUUAAUAUGUUGCUUGCAGUAGCUGUAUUUCAUUACACGUUGCAAAUGGAUGGAAGCUUCUUGACAAGACAUGAUGCUUGUCAUAAUCAGAAUAAACAUGCAUUUUGUGCAUAAGGAUUUGGUGAA
ensembl:lncRNA